rnacentral:tRNA from 1 species
GCCUUCUUGGUGUAGUUGGUUAUCACGUGAGUCUCAUAAUCUCGAGGUCAUCAGUUCGAUCCUGAUAGAGGGCA